rnacentral:lncRNA from 1 species
CUUCAUCAUUGUAUACUUAAAUGACAUUCUCAUAUUUAGUGUCACAUGGGAUGACCAUCUUCAUCAUAUUGCUCAAGUUUUGGAGGUUCUACGAACAAAUCAGUUACAGUUAAACGGUAAGAAGUGUGAAUUUAGGAAACAACACCUUGUAUACCUGGGAUUCAUUGUUGGUGCAGAAGAACUGAAAAUUGACCUAGAGAAAGUACAUGUGAUUUCUCAAAUUGCAGCACCCUUACAUUCUCUUAUAAAGGCCAAUCAAAAGUUUGAAUGGUCGAGAAACCAUGAAGAAUCUUUCCAAUUGUUGAAACAAAAGAUUACAGAGGCCCUAGUACUAG